UACGUAGGUGGCAAGCGUUGUCCGGAAUCACUGGGCGUAAAGCGCACGUAGGCGGCUUUUUAAGUCAGGGGUGAAAUCCUGGAGCUCAACUCCAGAACUGCCUUUGAUACUGAGAAGCUUGAGUCCGGGAGAGGUGAGUGGAACUGCGAGUGUAGAGGUGAAAUUCGUAGAUAUUCGCAAGAACACCAGUGGCGAAGGCGGCUCACUGGCCCGGUACUGACGCUGAGGUGCGAAAGCGUGGGGAGCAAACAGG
rnacentral:rRNA from 1 species